rnacentral:lncRNA from 1 species
GAUAAGUAUAUAUAUAUAUAUAUACAUACACACACAUAUAGAUUCACGCAGCACAUGAAUAUAUCUAUCUAUUAUAUAUAUAUAUAUAUAUAUAUAUAUAUAUAUAUAUAUAUAUAUAUAUAUAUAUAUAUAUAUAUAUAUAUAUAUAUAUAUAUAUAUAUAUAUAUUUAUAUGUAUAUAUAUAUAUAUAUAUACAUGUAUAUAUGCAUGUGUAUAUAUAUACACACAAAUAUAUAAUGAUGACGAUGAUGAUGAUGAUGAUGAUGAUGAUGAUGAUGAUGAUGAUAAUAAUAAUAAUAAUAAUUAUGAUAAUAAUAAUAAUAAUAAUAAUACUAAUAAUAAUAAUAAUAUUAAUAAUAAUAAUAAUAAUAAUAAUAAUAAUAAUAAUAAUAAUAACAAUAAUAAUAAUAAUAAUAAUAAUAAGGAUUAUAUAUGUAUGUCUAUAAAUUUAAUUAAACAUAAUGCUAAAUUAAGUUUAAUUUUAGGAAAGUUUAAAAAUAAAAAAAAACAUCAACGUAAUUGGUGGCGUGACUCAAUAUUGACAUGAGAGUGAAAUUUAUGGAUUUCUUGUUGUUUGGGACUUUACGAUAUGCUAAUCCGAUAGUAGGUGAUCAUUCUUUUCUACUCUAGGCUCAAGGCAUGACAUUUUUGAAGAGAGACCAGUCGAUUACAUAGACCCAGUACGCAACUGGUACUUUGAUUUAUUGACCUGGAAAGGAUGAAACGCAAAUUCAACCUCGGUGGAAUUUGAACUCAGAACGUAAAGACAGACGCAAUACUGCUAAGCAUUCCGCCCGGCGUGCUAACGUUUCUGCCAACUCGCCGCCUUGAUAAUUGAAGUAACUGUCAACCCGCGUGUAUAUUUGCGUCUGUGCUUUGGAAACUCAGCCCCCAGUGAACUUUAUAAUCUCAGGACAUUGUGAAAACUACCCAAGUCCCAAAUCUAUGCUUUUCGUUUCGCUAUUGUAAAAACCCAUGCCAACCGAACAAAGCAAACCUAGAAAUAUGCGCUUUGCUAAUGAGAUGUUUAGUAUGACAAAGACCUGGCCCUGAUGUCCUUUGAACCGCUAUAUAUGAUAUUAUUAUAUACUGUGCUAUUAGAUUUAUGGAAAUAACUCCCAAUUUUCUUUCUGAGUCGCAAAUAAUUGCCAGAGGCAUUAACAUAUCCUUAUAAGAUUUCAUUAUUUGUUCUACUUUGCGUUUCACAUAGGACAUCUAUACAAAUUGAUUUAACACAUUUACGUUUCUUCAAUUCCCAAUAGCAUUAUCAUCAAUUUAUAUAAGCCCACACUCCUGCGCGCAUUCAGUACAGGGUUUCGAUGUAGUUAACAGGCACUGCGCUUUCGGAGUCAAUCACAGAACAAAUUUUAACCAUGGAACCUCUAUACAUUUCACGGUAAAUGAAGUAAUCAAAGAGCUCUAUAAACAGGCCUAUUGAUCUCGAAACUCCAAGAGUACCUGUAUAUGAAUAGAGCGAAGAUUCACUUCAUGAUUAAAUUGUUAUUUGUACGUUGCGUUUAUGGGUAACUACACUUUCUUGAAGAAUAUUUCCUGAAGAGAAGCGGUCUCAGCUAUGACUGACAGAUUUUGCAGCGUAAGUUGCAGCAGUAGCAGGAAUUCUUUAAUACCCAAAAGAGGGGACUGAUUAAUCAAUAAAUUUCGCAAGGAUUCAUUAUAAUUUCCCUAUAGAAUAUUGUGACAGAAUACUGCAAAGUUAACAAAAUAACACAAAAAUGACAAAAAAUAAAACAAAUAUGGGCAAAAAGAAGCUAUAGAACCAACAUUGACAGAAAACAAAGGAACACAGAAUUUAAUUUUUGAUGAAGAUGAAAUUUACGGAAAAUAAAGGAACCGCAAAUGACAAUAACAUUUUAAAAGAAAGACAUAUUGGAAGUAAUUAGAGUCAUGUGUGUUUGAAAAUAGUUUUAAAGCAACAGAAAUUACAGAAGCGUAAUUAGUUGGGAAAGCAUGAAGGACACCGUGAUGGAGUUUGUUUAAUAUUUCAAUAAACAAGAUUGAGCGUAAGGAGCCAGCCCUUUCCCAUUCCUUCGCAAAAUGUAGUUUCCAGGAGCGUAACAUGGCGAUAGGAAAAUUUGAAAUAUAAAAUGAAGUGACGGCUUUUGUGUAUUCUUCAUAAACACCUAUUUUUGCAUGGAUUUUCAAGAUACACUUUCUUCAGAACGAGGCUAAAAUAUGUUGUGUUGUGAUUUCACCACAAAAUUAUUUCUUUCUCUUUCUGAGCAGUAAAUAAAGAUUAGUCAUAGUAAUGUCACGGUAUUUUAAACAGAUUUAUCAAAGAUCGUUUGGGUGUUUUUUUUUUCUUAUCUGAGUAGUUGCAUGUGUAGGGCUCCUAUUAAUUGCUGCGAAUGAUUUUAAUCUCAAGAAAAUUAAGAUUGAGUUAGUUUGGUUUUCUUAAAAAGUAUACUUGAUGCCAAAAAAAUAUCAAGGUGUUAUUCAAGCGGUACUUAUCAAAAAUAAUUACUUUUCAUUGAUGAAAUUU